GUGGGGAAUCUUGCGCAAUGGGCGAAAGCCUGACGCAGCCAUGCCGCGUGAAUGAUGAAGGUCUUAGGAUUGUAAAAUUCUUUCACCGGGGACGAUAAUGACGGUACCCGGAGAAGAAGCUCCGGCUAACUUCGUGCCAGCAGCCGCGGUAAUACGAAGGGGGCUAGCGUUGCUCGGCAUUACUGGGCGUAACGGGCGCGUAGGCUGACAGCUUAGUCAGAGGUGAAAGCCCAGUGCUCAACCUUGGAAUUGGCUUUGAUACUGGCUGUCUUGAGUUUGGGAGAGGUUAGUGGAACUCCGAGUGUAGAGGUGAAAUUCGUAAAUAUUCGGAAGAACACCAGUGGCGAAGGCGACUCACUGGCCCAAUACUGACGCUGAGGCGCGAAAGCGUGGGGAGCAAACAGGAUUAGAUACCCGGGUAGUCC
rnacentral:rRNA from 1 species